UACGGAGGGUGCAAGCGUUAAUCGGAAUUACUGGGCGUAAAGCGCACGCAGGCGGUCUGUCAAGUCGGAUGUGAAAUCCCCGGGCUCAACCUGGGAACUGCAUCCGAAACUGGCAGGCUAGAGUCUUGUAGAGGGGGGUAGAAUUCCAGGUGUAGCGGUGAAAUGCGUAGAGAUCUGGAGGAAAACCGGUGGCGAAGGCGGCCCCCUGGACAAAGACUGACGCUCAGGUGCGAAAGCGUGGGGAGCAAACAGGAUUAGUUCCCCUGUUCGUCCACGCCGUAAACGAUGUCGACUUGGAGGUUGUGCCCUUGAGGCGUGGCUUCCGGAGCUAACGCGUUAAGUCGACCGCCUGGGGAGUACGGCCGCAAGGUUAAA
rnacentral:rRNA from 1 species